CAUAAGGAGGGCAGCAACAAUGUGGCUACUGAGCACUUUCAUCCUGACGGCUGGUUUUUCUUGCAGUUCUGCACAAGACUUGCAGCAGACCCCCAUAUCCAUCACCAAGGCAGAAAGCAAAACAGUGCUAAUCAACUGUCAUGUCUCCGAUCCUGAUUUUAACAACGUUUUCAUUCACUGGUACAGAAAGAGGCCAAACACGGCUCCCAAGCGCAUUGCCUACAUGUCCUCCCGGCUUUUCCUUGAAAACAAGUCUGAUGAUGGGAAAUUUAGUAUUGAGAAGGAUGCCACCAAAUCUGUCUGCACCCUGACAGUGAGCAAAGGAACUCUGCAAGACUCCGCUACCUACUACUGUGCUAGGUGGGAUGCACAGCAGUAGAAAGCCAUAGGGAACCUGCACAAAGACGUGCUCUGCUUCCUGAACCAGAUCCUGAAGUGUUUGACAACAAGCAGGAA